CAACGUCACAAUCGAUCACCUUCGACGGUCUUAUUGAGCAUGGUCACAGGAAUGACGACAGAAUCGCAUAUAGAAACAUACAAUCAGCAUCGCCCGCUGCUUUUCGGAAUAGCCUGGCGGAUGCUUGGCAA
rnacentral:misc_RNA from 1 species